UCUUCCUGUCAAUGCUACCCUCACCGCCGAUUCCGGCCGCCACCGGCCUCCUCUCCCGCUGCAGUUCACCAACGAGGAUCCAUCGUCCUCCUCUGCCCCUAUUCCCCACCGGAGAGACGCCAUUCUGGCCCCGUGCUCCUUCUCCACUUGCUGAACCGGGUUGCUGUUCCACAUGCCGCUCCCGGCUGAGACGAGCUCGCCGCGGAGGAGGAAAAGAAGGGGGUGGAGCGAAAGGGCCUCGCGGCGGAGCACGAGGCCGGAAUCCAGGGCGGUGGCGCGGCACGCCUAGCAGGGGGGCCGACAGAGUCCGAUCUCGCGGUGGAGGACGGCUUGUCGCGCGCGAUCUCUCGCUUGAGGAUGGUGGGUCGCGCGCGGAGCAACGGGACAGGCGGCGUUCGAGCUCGCCGCCGGGAGGAGGUGUACAUGCGGGUUGUUGUGCGGUCCUCGCGAGGAUGCGGUCGAGUCGACCAACGGGCGCCCGCGCGCCCCCUAGACGAUAUUCAAGACACGACACUCAUCCGCAAAUGACUGGCUGAGAAAAGGAGGAGGACGAGCCGCGGAGUCCUUUCACUCCACAUUUUUUACAGCCUACGUACGUGCACGCCCACCCUCCCUCCACCGUCUCAUCUUCUCACCUGGCCAACCGGCAGCCACGACGUCGCCGGCACCUGCGGCGACAUGGCCGUCCUUCCUUCCAGGCUGCUCACGGCCGCCACCACCGGCCUCAGCUUCUCCACCCCUGUCUGUCCUAGCAGGCAGCACAGAGUCGCCGGCGGUGGCAGGCUCCUAUUCUCUUCGGUUUCCUGCCGUGCGGCGGCGGCAGGGGGACCGAUCACCAUCACUGGUGACCCGCCCACCUUCGUGUCCGCGCCCGGCCGCCGCAUUGUCGCCGUCGGCGACCUCCAUGGUGAUCUUUACCAAACGAGAGCUGCCCUGGUGAUGGCCGGUGUCCUUAGCCCGGAAUCAGAUGCUCACGUAUGGACAGGCGGGCAGACGAUUCUGGUUCAAGUUGGGGACAUCCUUGACCGUGGCGAAGAUGAGAUCGCGAUUCUGUCCCUAUUGAGUUCUCUAAAUGUACAAGCGAAGUCUCAAGGCGGUGCAGUGUUUCAGGUUAACGGAAACCAUGAAACCAUGAAUGUGGAAGGCGAUUUCCGGUACGUCGACCCAGGAUCAUUUGACGAGUGUAUACGCUACCUAGAGUACUUGGAGGAAUUUGAUGGCAACUGGGAUGAUGCUUUCGUCAACUGGGUUAAUGUUUCUCAAAGGUCCAAGGAAGAGUAUCGGGCAUCAUUUAAUGGUGACUGGCUUCCUUUGAACUUUGUCAAGAAACAAAAAGGGUUUGCUGCAAGAGCAUCACUUUUGAAGCAAGGUGGUCCAUUAGCUUGCGAAUUGGCACGACAUCCGGUUAUACUUAAUGUCAAUGACUGGAUAUUUUGUCAUGGCGGCCUUCUUCCUCAUCAUGUUGCAUACGGGAUCGAACGCAUCAAUGCUGAAGUAUCGAAUUGGAUGCGAGGUUCAAGUGAAGAUAGUGAUGAUCCGGAUCUGCCUUUCAUAGCUACUAGAGGCUAUGACAGUGUAGUAUGGACUCGCUUGUACUCCCAAGAUUCAGUCGAGAGGACGCAACGGUCUUGGAAUCUAUCUUCUGUUAUUGCUGAACAAACGCUGAAAUCUGUUGGAGCUAAAGGGAUGGUUGUAGGACACACUCCCCAGAAUCGUGGAGUAAAUUGCAAAUGCGAUGGUAAAGUUUGGUGUGUUGAUGUGGGCAUGUCUUAUGGUGUACUGCAUUCGAGACCAGAGGUCCUAGAAAUAGUUAAUGACAGACCAAGAGUUCUAAAGGAACAGAGGGACUCAUACGAUGAGAUGGAAGUGUUGGACUACUUAUGAAACCUUGAAAAUUUCUGUAUAUAAUAGCAAAAAGAAAAAUCCUAGCUAAAUUACCGUAGAAGAGAGUUCUUGGGCUGACACCUGUAAAACUAAAUGGUAAAGGAGGAUAUACAUCUAAAGAUGCCAACCAGCCUCGCAUAGCGAAAAGCGUCGGCUGUUGCUGAGUUCUUGCACACAGGAAAAGGGAUGGUCAGAGGCUCUAGACUCCAAGUUUGGCGGUGAUUAUGAGAAAAUUUCCAUAUCCUUCUCCAUUCUAUUUGAAGAGAGCUCUAAAAAUUAUGCGAGAAGACAUGAAAUCGAAUAGACAAGAAAAGCUUGUACUCCAUCCGUCCCUAAAAAAGCUGCCCAACUUCUGCAACGGAGAGAGGAGGGAGUACAUCCUUUGGCCCCUCGGGUAACAAUUGUACCAUAACAGAAUUAGUUUUAUUUUCUAUAAUGUAGCAAACUUCUAGAAAACCCAAUUACAGUUACUUUCUAGUCACAGCCGUGAUGCAUGUGACCUUACAUGUAUAGUGAAACAUCAAAGUACAUAAAAAACUUAUAGAUAAUUAUACGUGCAAAAACCUUUGUCUAUAGGUUAGUGCAUAUGUGCAUGAUUUAUUUUUUGCUACAAACCGGUGGGCUUUAUUGUCAGAACUCCAAAUAUGAAGACUCAAUUAAGUUAUGAUCUAAGCAGUAUGAUUGUAAUAAUGUUUUGUUGGCAGACCA